GAUGAACGCUGGCGGCGUGCCUAAUACAUGCAAGUCGAGCGAACGGACGAGAAGCUUGCUUCUCUGAUGUUAGCGGCGGACGGGUGAGUAACACGUGGAUAACCUACCUAUAAGACUGGGAUAACUUCGGGAAACCGUAGCUAAUACCGGAUAAUAUUUUGAACCGCAUGGUUCAAAAGUGAAAGACGGUCUUGCUGUCACUUAUAGAUGGAUCCGCGCUGCAUUAGCUAGUUGGUAAGGUAACGGCUUACCAAGGCAACGAUGCAUAGCCGACCUGAGAGGGUGAGUGGCCACACUGGAACUGAGACACGUUCCAGACUCCUACGGGAGGCAGCAGUAGGGAAUCUUCCGCAAUGGGCGAAAGCCUGACGUAGCAACGCCGCGUGAGUGAUGAAGGUCUUCGGAUCGUAAAACUCUGUUAUUAGGGAAGAACAUAUGUGUAAGUAACUGUGCACAUCUUGACGGUACCUAAUCAGAAAGCCACGGCUAACUACGUG
rnacentral:rRNA from 1 species